GUCUUCGUGGCGCAGUUGGCUAGCGCGUCAGUCUCAUAUUGAUACAUCUAUAUGAUCUAGACAUUAGUCUGGGCCAUCUGAAGGUCGUGAGUUCGAGCCUCACCGAGGACA
rfam:Trichoderma atroviride IMI 206040 TRIATcontig_16, whole genome shotgun sequence.